ensembl:lncRNA
UAAAACUGUUCUGUUAGGAGCUGAGCUUCAGAGACUUCCUGGCUAACAUGAGGAUUGUAAAAAAUCCAAAAUAGAUUGGAAGGGAAGGCUGCAUUCAUGUGAAACAUGGAAGAUCUGCUCCAAGAUCAGAGCCUCCAAAGAGCCACCAGCCUUAUGAUAUCCAUAGUGUUCUAUAGCUGGUGAGAACAACCACUGUUUACAACUGUAGAAAAGGAAUACAUACUUAUUUUCAGACCUACCUCCGUUAAAUGAGCUCUGUGAAUACUUGUUAUUUCACCUCUGCCAUUUUCAUGAUGAAAAGAAUUAGCAAUUGCAAGGAACAUAUCUGGGAAUCAGAUAGACCUGCCCUGACAACGUGGUACUCAUUUGUUUCCAAUCCAGUGGCAAAUUAUUCUCUUUUUAAGAAGAGAGGAGGAGGAGGAGGAUCAUUUCUCUCAGAGGGAGAAGAAAAAAAAAAAAAAAAAAAGAAGAAUUAAUAAAUAUUUCACAGAAGGUGAACCCAGAGGUCCUGAAGCAAAUCCUGAACAAAUUACAGGGAAGCAGAAACAGCUGGAGAGAGAAUACCAUUGCAGUAAGCACACUGCCUUGACCCAGCCUGCCAGCGCCCUUCAGCUCCCAGCUUUACUGUUUCUAAACACCUUAGCAAAAAAUAGGCAGAAUAUCUCUCAUUUAUUCAAGAAAAAAAAGAAGGGGAUCCAUCCAAGUUCCUUUGUGAGACAAUCUGAAGAGGACCUUGGGGUUUCUAUGUUAGGCAACUCUGUGUGCUCUGAAAAGCCCUGCAAAGGCAGCUUGCAAAAAAAGAAGCGUAGGAGGGAGCUGGGAAGGCAGUGUGGCCUCAUAGGAAAUGAAGGCAAUAAUGCACAGCUCGUGAAUACGGGAACACCGCUGAUGUGGGAAAAGCACACAUUUCUUAUCAGCUACACCACUACUCACUACUGUACAAGGACAAGUAUACGGAGACUUUGUCUUUGAUCCCCCUCCCCCCCCAUUUUAGCUUUGUUAUUUGUUAUUAUUAUUGAUAUUAUCUUAUUAAUUAUUAUUACUAUUUCAAAUGAAUCAUGUAGGCCAGAAAAGUCAGAUUGGCCACCAUUUUGGUGGGGGAAGGAGAGACAUUUUUCUGAGGGGUCUCCAAAGGGAUGUACCCAUGCAGGUGCUGUGCUGGCGAAAUAUCUCACCAUAACAUUUGAGUGGCUCAGAGCUGCACAUUACUCCUUUACUUUCUUCUCCAUGGCCAACCUCCAAGGUUUUUUAUCCAUCUUUUAUAUGUUGCCUAUGUAAUCUUUGGAAGGAUGUGCUACAUUUGCUCAUAUAAGAUCAGCAUGACUGAACACUGGCUUGGAUGGAGCUCAGAUCCUACCAAAACCUAAAUGUUAGGUAAUGACUUUUGCUGUAUAUAGAACAUAGAAUAUAGGUCAAAUGAAAGAAGAAGUGACAGAAAGAGGGGAAGGCUGCAAUAAUGGAAAUAUCUUUAAUGCCACAAGCUACUCAAUAACUGAAAUCCGGAACAGCAUGAGUUCUGGGUUUUUUGUUUUGUUUUGUUUUUAAAAACAGGUUUAAGUAUUCAUCUGUUAUUCUUGAGAACUUCAGGUCCAGAAUGGAUAGUUUUCUAGGAAAGAUGCACUACCUCGUCCAGAAACUGCUGGCUCACUGUAGGACUCUUCUGGCAACGUACGACCUGUAUUCUGGGGGAAGCUGGACUGUAUCUUCAGAAUAGUCUCUCAUGUUCUUCAGACCUAUGAGUCUGAAUACUUCAACUCCAUUUACAAACAGUUAAUAAACUGUUAGUUUACUGGUUAGUAAACUUUUCAUAGGCUGUCAAUAAAAGGCUAAUCAGUCUGCAUAGUUAAGCUGCAAUCCUGUAACAGCUUCUAUUGAAUACUGUCUCUAAUGCUGCUUGUAAAUCCUUUGUAAAAGGAGACUUAAAGUGUUACAAUGACAAUAAUAAUCAGAAUGUGCAAUCGCUGCUCCCUGUACUGCCAGCAAUGCUGAUAAUGAGCUAACAGAAGCACUGCUGAUUGCUGCCAUGAAGGCUGCAGGGAGCAAAACCCUAAAAGCUUUUAUUAGCAACACCAAGACACACUGGUGUUUCUUUCCAAACCAGAAUGAAUCACCUUUUCUGUUUCUGGAUGGGUCCAACCAGUAUUCUCAUUGCAUCCCAUUGCAUAAUAUGACACAAAAGUGAUACCUGUGCUAUUAGUUAGAUCAAAAUACUGAUUUCAGUUUUAUCCAAGCAGCUCUAUUUCAUUUUUGUCUUUGCCAAAUGGGAAAUACAGCUUUGAGAUUUCAGCUAGGGCAAUCAGGUAUGCUGUUGUCUUUUCUGAGUAGAUAAAAUGUAUUGGAAGGCUUGAAUAUGGAUUACACUGUUAAAUAAAAUCCUGAGUUCAUAAGCCAGGUAAAGCAGUGGGAUUGCAAAAGUCUUACCACCACCUGACUCCGGCUUGAAGAGUAACCAUUUCAUGAGUACGUGUGAGCCUUAUUCAGUGUUCAACCUGUACGCUGAGGUGCAAACAAGAAACUUAGAUAGGAUGGCAUGGUUGAGAACUCUUGGUUUUUCUUUUUGAUAUAUAUUCACAAAAUAAAGCAUCUGUUUGGAUCCUUUAAAAAAGUUCACAAAGGCAGUGACUGACACAGAAAUAAUUCAGGCCACUGUUUGUUAUAAAUUUAGACUCAGAAUAAAGAUGGGGUAAACACCAUCAAAAUGGCUUCUGGUACAGCAUGCUCAUUUCAAACAACAGAAGCCACAUUCAACACAGCACUGCACAAUCACAGCUCCCCUUGGCUCGUGUGGAAGUUGUUAAGUGGCCAGCACCUCCAAAAAUCAAGUCUGAACUGUCUCCAGCUGGGACCCAACAAAUGAAUAAACAGUUACAGUCCCAAACAUGAGCUGACUGUGGAAAACUUGGGCUCUGAGAGUGAAAAUCUCAGUAGCUUUUGGCUGUACCUUUGUUGUACGCCUUAGAAACAAAGUUUAAAAACAAGAUGGGGAUGGGGGGAGCCCUCGCUGCAGGCUUUUUAGGUGCUGUUGAAAUAGAGCCAACAGAGCAGCACAGGGGAUCUUCAAGAAGCCAAAGUAUUAUUAAUUACUAUUAUAUUUAUGUGCUAAUGCUGGUAAUCUUAAGUAACUGUUUGUGAGAAUGUUUCAGCCUGGCUGAAUCCAGAAGUAUUGUGUAGAUGCAGUAACUGUCAAGAAUAUGAGCUGUGGAGCAACAAAAGCCACCUGCAUUGCUCAUGAAGGUCUGGAACCAAAGUACCGGAAAGACAGGGUUACAUGCCAAGAAAAGAAAAAUCCAUUUUGUAUGUUCUACAUAUGGACCGAGGCAUGAGGCCCAUAAAGAUGAAAAGCUGCCGCUAAUUUUAGUGGGAUGUUUCUAUGACUAAUGGGCCAUGUCAGUUAUAGGUUCUCUGGAUAUGCCACAGUGCCUGCUUGGAGCUGGAGGAGAAACGCUUGAUUCCCAGAUGGACACCCUAGAAAACCAGCAUUCCCACAAGCGACGGAAUACCUGUAAAGUAACGCUGUAGCAAUGGUGAUGAAAAUAAAACACAGUCAGAUCCUGCACUUUCAUGGCUGAAGGCAGCAAUCAGUGUAUCGUCACAUUGCCAGAGCUGACUUCAUUUGCACUUUGGCAAAUCUGUGCAGCUAAUCUGAAAUCCAGGUAUUAUUAUUUUCAGUCAGAAUUCCAGCAACUGACAUCUUUUGCUACUUUUCAAGUAGCCCCUAGUGAGUAGCCAAUGCUAAAGGACUUUGCCAUACUUGCAGGAGCGCAGCCACUAAAAAUAGUCAGGCAUGUGCCUACAAGAUGGCUUAGUUUGAGCAGGGUUAUAAAACACACACUGG